GUGAGACAUUCCCUGCUUUUUGCUGUAUUGGAUUUUUAAUCAAUGUCAGUAUUAACCUGAGGCAUGACUGAAGAGCCUCAUUCUGUAAGCUGAGGCAGAAUCCAAGCUGUUAAUCACUUGCCCAAUUUAGGAUGCACUAGACAUCAUAAAUACCCUUUUAUUUUGGAUGUGCAGUUCUUGCUGACUAAACUGAGUGCUUCAUGUUGCUGCUAAAGUUUCUCUGAUAUCAUCUGAUAAAGAUACAGAGUUCUCACUGGAGGAGACCAGUUGCAUGUCACAUUUGUGUCCAUCAUGACUACUGAAGGAGCCUUGCUAUCACCAGAGCAGUGCACUCAUGGACGGCAUUUAUUGCACCAGUCACAUUAGGAAAGUGUGGAGAUUGGAUUUGCAUGGCAGAACUACCCAGGCUUCUUGAAUUACAGAUUGUACAAAUUACAGCUGGACCUGGACAUGCUCUGCUGUGCUUCCUGACAAAUUUCAUGCAAGGUGCUGAGUACUUUGGAAUGACAAAAACUGUGAUAGCAAAUGUUUCCUCAUGCCCAGCAUUUGCCUCAUCGUUGCGUUAAAUACUCUUGGAAGUGGGGAAAAGGGCAGUGUGUGAAAGGGAGGAGUAGGAGAUAGUUGGGGGUUCCUCCUCUGUUCAAAUAAUAUGCCAGAGCAUAUAUAUUUCUUUAUAUAUAUAAUAUUUUAUAUAUAUAUAUUUAACAAUAUGCCACGAGCCAGAGGACACCCUGGCUUUCUAGGGCAUCUGUGGUAAGUUUGCAAGGUAGAGCUAGAAAUUAACAGAAACCAGAAAUCAAAUGACAAUUUUAAUAGACUUUAGAACAGAGUGUACGAGUAUAAAACACUGGUUUUGUAUUUCAAAAGUUGCAGGAAGAUAGCCAGUCAUUUUAAACAGUCUUCUACAAAACAUAUGCCAGUAGAUUACAUAAAAGACACUAUAUACAAUAUAAAAGAGCAGAAAACAAUCCUCACUGUAAAAAUAAUUUAAAACAAAGUAUUUCAAUUUAAAAUAUCUCCUAUAGCACAAACUAAUACAUUGUGACAUGCAAGUGAAAACUAAACAUAUUGCAUUCUUUAAUGUAGCCAAAUAAGAGCUGUAUUAAAUUUGGACAAUGAGACAACAUGCCGACAUUUCCCCAUGAAUACAGGAGGCUGUUCUUAAAUAUUUAUUAACUGUUGGAUUAUGUUCAAAGAACAGCUACUAUACAUCUUCCAAAAUGUAAUAAAUAUUAAAGCAAAGUAUAUGAAUAAUCUACAUCGUAGAGUUCAUUUGGGCCAAUGUUGAAAAAGUGGUUUAUAGAAAAAUGCCGUUUCACUGACUACCGCACUGUGCAAUUGUACAAAAUAGUUCUAAAGGCUUGGAAACAAUCUGCACUUGAACAUUUGCAACAUCCAGUUUUAAGGCAGCCUAGCACUUGAGACCGCAGCGCGGCAGGAGCCGCUUCGCUUUUCGUGUCUGAGGUGGAGCUGGCAGCCGGGAGGAGAAUUCCCAGCUGGAUGGAGCAGGAGGUCAGGCCAGCAGGUCCUUAAUCCCACCAGGCUCCCUGGCAGCGUCAGGAGGCUCCCACCACCCGAGUCAGUCUCUCCUGGGCUCGGUGCAUCCGUGAGCACAAAGGAAGAGCUUCGUUUCUGCGCCUUCUCACGCGCUCUUCUGAACUCUGCUUCCACACUGGAGCCUUGGCAAUUCCUCAAAUGCUAUUUAUAAAGCAAGCUGCUCUAGAUGUGACCACUGGAUAGAGCGUGACAGACUCUUUACUGGGGGGAUCCUUUCUGUUUAAAAUUCUAAUUGCUAAGGAGCCAACGUCGAGAACGCUUCACGUCCACAGGAAGUCAUACACAGCAACCCAAGCAUUUUCACAGCACUCCUUGAUCAACCUCAAAAGCAUUGGAUUCCUCACAAGUGCUGCUGUUUCCAUCUCGCUAUCUGCUCGCAAUUAAGUAUGUCUCAAACAUACAGAGUAACUGUUUAAAGCAAAGAAAAUUAGCUGCCACAGUAGGUCUUAGAAAAUGCCAGUGUUUAAUGACAGACUAGGCAUGAAUGAAAGGUUUAGCAGAAGCCUAAGAAGAUUUUAAAUCAACCAAAGUGUUACAAAGCAAGAGGUGUGAAAAUACCAUUCUUUGGUCUAAAUUAGCUGUUCCCUUUAUAUUAGUUCAACAUUCCAAUGGCUUUCUCAAAACGGUUUAAAAAUAAUAGAAGCUGAAAUUUAUUAAGCAAAAAUAUGUAUUAUAUACAUGGAUGCCUGAUCAGACAGAUGAACUUAAAAGUGAACACAGUGACAGUUGUUUAGAUAAUCCUAGUACCUUAGAAAUAAAAAAAAAAAAAA